GCUGGUGUGGCUCAGUGGGUAGAGCGUCAGCCUUCAGACUGAAGGGUCCCAGGUUCGAUUCCCGGUCAGGGCA
rnacentral:tRNA from 1 species